rnacentral:rRNA from 1 species
UAGGGAAUCUUCGGCAAUGGACGGAAGUCUGACCGAGCAACGCCGCGUGAGUGAAGAAGGUUUUCGGAUCGUAAAGCUCUGUUGUAAGAGAAGAACGAGUGUGAGAGUGGAAAGUUCACACUGUGACGGUAUCUUACCAGAAAGGGACGGCUAACUACGUGCCAGCAGCCGCGGUAAUACGUAGGUCCCGAGCGUUGUCCGGAUUUAUUGGGCGUAAAGCGAGCGCAGGCGGUUAGAUAAGUCUGAAGUUAAAGGCUGUGGCUUAACCAUAGUAGGCUUUGGAAACUGUUUAACUUGAGUGCAAGAGGGGAGAGUGGAAUUCCAUGUGUAGCGGUGAAAUGCGUAGAUAUAUGGAGGAACACCGGUGGCGAAAGCGGCUCUCUGGCUUGUAACUGACGCUGAGGCUCGAAAGCGUGGGGAGCAAACAGGAUUAGAUACCCUGGUAGUCCACGCCGUAACGAUGAGUGCUAGGUGUUAGACCCUUUCCGGGGUUUAGUGCCGUAGCUAACGCAUUAAGCACUCCGCCUGGGGAGUACGACCGCAAGGUU